ACUCUUUUAGUAUAAACAGUACUAUUAACUUCCAAUUAAUCAGCUUCGACAAGGCUCGAAAAAGAGUA
rnacentral:tRNA from 1 species